ACCACCUCACAUUCUUUUUUUCUUGUAAAAAAAGGAUUGGACUUGAGCGAUCCCAACGCGUCUGAAUUCAUUCGGGCGCGGCGGGUUGCUUGAAAUGCAGGUGCAGCUGGAUUUUUAUUCUGAGCUAAAAGCAUAUUUAUUUAGUCCCGUCAAAAGGAUUAUUACUUUUUGCUGCAGCUAAUAUAAAGGAACAUUAAUCCUCAUGCUGACUGAUGCAGGAAUUUUCUUGUCGAUGUUUCUUUUAACUUGUUAAGAGAAAAAUCAGCAAGAAAACAAA
rnacentral:misc_RNA from 1 species